UAGAGAUGCUGCCACUCCCAUGGAAGGGAUCCAGCCAGGGGGCAAGACACCGAUCGUCCCUCACCGGCUCUCAGGACCCCGUGAUACAGAAAGGAGGACUCGGGGAGUAUUCUGGCAAUGGGAGCCUUAGGACUUUUAAACUAUAAGUUAGCUUCUUAGCUUAAUCACUCACUCCUAACCAAGAGAUAAAGCAUGGUGUGGGAGAGAUAAUACAGUGGUUAUGCAAAGAGGCUCUCACACCCCAAGGAUCCAAAGCACUGGGCUCAAUUCAGCUUCUCGCCAAGCCAGGCAGCACUUCUGGACCCUGUGGGAACAACUGGCUUCAGUCUGGACCUUUGCCCAAAAUCAACCAACAGCCAUCAGGUUCCAGAUGCUAUCAUGAUGCCAACCUGACUUCCCUGGACAGACGACCCCACCAAUAUGUCCUGGAGCCCUGCUUCCCCGGAGGCCUUCCCCACUAGGGAAAGAGAGAGGCAGACUGGGAGUAUGGAUCCACCUGCCAAUGCCCAUGUUCAACAGGGAAGCAAUUACAGAAGCCAGACCUUCUACCUUCUGCACCCCAUAAUGACCCUGGGCUCAUACUCCCAGAGGGAUAAAGAAUAGGGAAGUUAUCAGGGGAGGGGAUUGGAUAUGGAGCUCUGGUGGUGGGCACUGUGUGGAAAUGUACCCCUCCUAUCCUAUAGUCCUGUCAUUGUUUCCUUUUUAUAAAUAAAAAAAUUUAAAAAAUAAUCUAGCCUCUUGCUUCACAAAAUAAUCUAGCCUCUUGCUUCUAGCCUUGCUUCACAGAGGAGGGCAUGGUGCUUCAGACCCUCCUCCCUCUAUUCACUCACUGUCUGAUUCCUCUAGGGGAUGGAUCUGGAGAAAGAUAAGAGGCAAUGAGAAUAAAUGCUAAAAACCAAUUGCUAAACACUGUACAGAUAUCUCCAUAAAUGGGCAGUAAUGGUAACAUUAGGUAGCAUAAGUAACCUUGCCUCUCUCUUAGUGGAUAUAAGGUCUACAGGCUGAGGGGGGUGGUUGGGUGGAUUGGUUUACCCACAUCUCCUGCCUUCUCUCUCUGACUCUUUCG